rnacentral:rRNA from 1 species
UUACUGGGCGUAAAGAGUGCGCAGGCGGUUUUGCAAGACCGAUGUGAAAUCCCCGGGCUUAACCUGGGAACUGCAUUGGUGACUGCAAGGCUAGAGUGUGUCAGAGGGAGGUGGAAUUCCGCAUGUAGCAGUGAAAUGCGUAGAUAUGCGGAGGAACACCGAUGGCGAAGGCAGCCUCCUGGGAUAACACUGACGCUCAUGCACGAAAGCGUGGGGAGCAAACAGGAUUAGAUACCCUGGUAGUCCACGCCCUAAACGAUGUAUACUAGUUGUCGGGGAUUAAUUUCCUUGGUAACGCAGCUAACGCGUGAAGUAGACCGCCUGGGGAGUACGGUCGCAAGAUUAAAACUCAAAGGAAUUGACGGGGACCCGCACAAGCGGUGGAUGAUGUGGAUUAAUUCGAUGCAACGCGAAAAACCUUACCUACGCUUGACAUGUCCGGAACCCUGAAGAGAUUUGGGGGUGCUCGAAAGAGAGCCGGAACACAGGUGCUGCAUGGCUGUCGUCAGCUCGUGUCGUGAGAAG